rnacentral:rRNA from 1 species
GAUGAACGCUAGCUACAGGCUUAACACAUGCAAGUCGAGGGGCAGCAUGGACAUAGCUUGCUAUGUUUGAUGGCGACCGGCGCACGGGUGCGUAACACGUAUCCAAUCUGCGCGUUACUCGGGGAUAGCCUUCUGAAAGGCAGAUUAAUACCCGAUGGCAUGUAUUUCCGGCAUCGGCGAUACAUUAAAGAUUUAUCGGUAACGGAGGGGGAUGCGUACGAUUAGCUUGUUGGCGGGGUAACGGGCCACCAAGGCAACGAUCGGUAGGGGUUCUGAGAGGAAGGUCCCCCACACUGGAGCUGAGACACGGUCCAGACGCCUACGGGAGGCAGCAGUGAGGAAUAUUGGUCAAUGGUCGGAAGACUGAACCAGCCAAGUAGCGUGAAGGAUGACUGCCCUACGGGUUGUAAACUUCUUUUGUUUGGGAAUAAAAGACGCUACGUGUAGCGUUCUGCAUGUACCUUACGAAUAAGCAUCGGCUAAUUCCGUGCCAGCAGCCGCGGUAAAAC